UUGACCAAUGAAAGAGCUUCUAUCUGGUUGCUUGAUCUUCUAGAAAUAGUAACCAGGUCUUCCUCAGGCUACAAUUGAGCAUCUUUAAAAGGAAUCAGUGAAAAGAAAAUUUUGUUAUUGAUGGAUGAUGACUGGGCGUUGGAGAAACGGUAUUCAUAUGACUAAAAUGUUUUAGACAAUCCCUCUAAAGGUUUUGGUCAGGGCUGAAUUAGGGAGAAAAAUAUAACAAAGACAAAAGCAGCAGCAGCAGCAACAGCAGCAACAGCAGCAGCAACUCUAUGGUUUUUGAAAAAUAUUCAUGAAUAGUAACCGAUGUUAGUAUUCGUACAAAAGCUUCAAGAGAAUGAGAUACAACGAAAAAUAAAAGUAUUUGUUUUUUUUAACUCGGCACAUCAAUUAGGCAGGCAGUAAUAGUUCAUCUUUGGUUUGGUGUUGCUGAAUAACUGUUGGGAUUUGUAGUCACUUGGGAAAUGCAUAACUGGCGUCAAAGACCGUGUGUUUACUCGAAAGUAGACUGAUGGCAUAUAAACAAUCGUCAAUCUCUCGUUCCCAAACUACCGUUGAGAAGCGUCCAUUAAAAAGGCUGCUUGAACGAAACCUUGGCAUGGAAAUACAUCGUAAUCUACCAAAAUGCAAAGCACUGUUCGAAAAGGAAUUUCAUAUUCAUCCUUCAGCUAUUUCCAUAUCUUCUAAUUUUCUAAUUUUGUUAUUUCCCGUCUCAUCUAAUUUUUUUCCCCUUGAUAAAUUGAUGUGAAAUGUUGUGCAAACUAACAAAUCGUAUACUGAGAACACGUAGCUGACACAAUUAAAAACUAUAUAUAAAUA